AAGAAAUUAGUUAAAAUAUAACUUUCGUUUGUCAUACGUAGAUCAUCUUUUUUUAAAGAUAUUUCUUA
rnacentral:tRNA from 1 species